rnacentral:sRNA from 1 species
UUUUAGCCCCGAUUGUAGCGGAAAUCCUUAUAAGCCGGGGUUAGGCUUAUAAGAUUGUAGUGGAAAGCGGGACGAUGU